AAAAUAUUCAUACAUUAUCAUCCAAAUAUAAUGAAAACUUCACAUAUAUUCUAUUUAGCUAGAUGUUUAAUUAAAAAAUAUUACAAAUGCGCGCAACUUGCUAGACAUUUGAAACGACGUUCUCUGCUUCAGCCUUCUCGUUUGUAGUAGUCCUCAUAGCUCAUCGACUCCCAUCUACUUGAUCCGCCAAGAUGAUAAACUCAAUCACAAUAAUGAACUGGAGAAUUAAAAAAAUCCAGCAACAUGUGAGUUACAUAAGUAAUCUUCAAGAUCUCAAUGUUCUAUCUAUAUUGUUAAAAUGAGAAGAAGAUUACCCUGCACCAACACGAGCGAGUUCACCUGCAAAACAUAGCCAACCCGAGCUUCUUAAAUAAAAGAAAUAUGAAAGAGAUAUUUCAACUCUGCUCUCUCUCACAACGUUAUAUAUAUACCGUAUGGUUGAAUAUAGUCCGAGGGAAUGAAGAAGGGAAUAACUGAAACAUCAAUUACUUAGCAUAAUUCUAUUCACACAAGUCAGCCCCUCUCUUACAUGUUCGCCACUUAAAGUAAUAUCUUUU
rnacentral:lncRNA from 1 species